CCCUUAGAUGUUCUGGGCCGCACGCGCGCUACACUGAUGCAUUCAACGAGUCUAAAACCUGCUCUGAUAGGGGUGGGUAAUCUUUUGAAUGUGCAUCGUGAUUGGGAUAGAUGAUUGCAAUUUUUCAUCUUCAACGAGGAAUGCCUAGUAAACGCAAGUCAUCAGCUUGCAUUGAUUACGUCCCUGCCCUUUGUACACACCGCCCGUCGCUCCUACCGAUUGAAUGAUCCGAUGAAUAUCAUGGAUUGAGGAUGCAAGUAGGUUCGCCUAUCUUCAUCUUCGAGAAGUGAAGUAAAUCUUAUCAUUUAGAGGAAGGAGAAAUCGUAACA
rnacentral:rRNA from 1 species